CGGGCCAGAGACGGACGGGGUUAGGGUUGAGGUCCAGCAGCAGGGGUUGUGUGGUACUCCUGCUUCUACCGCCGCCGCGACCAGGCCCGGAGGCCCCCCUAGCCUGGAGGAUGCGGACGGGCUAGGAGGAUGAAGAGGAGCGCGACGAGGAGGGACAGGGGCGAGCGCCGGUAGAGGUUGCGGAGGAGGGUGCGGAUGCGGAAGCGCCCGGUAGUCGGCCACGGACGGGGCCUAGGGUGGAAGAAGCUGCUACAGCAGCUGCGGUAGCAGCUGUUCAUGCCGAUCCUGGGGCUGCGGCUCCAGGCCCUAACCGGCGAGCUGCGGCUCCCGCGCGAGCAGCUGCGGCGCAUCACGAUGCUCAAGGGGCGGGCGCACCCCGGGGCGCCAGCGCGACCGCGCCCGGAGGCUGCCCCGGCAGCUGACCUCGGCGGGGCUGCGGGGGCGCCACCUCCUCCACCAGCCCGGGCUGCCCCAGCUGAAACACUGGCCGCUACCGCUGGACCGCAAGCCGAGGCCGCAAUCCCAGGCACUGUACCAUCCCGGCAAGCUCGACCACCAGACGCUACCGCGACCGUCCCCGGCGCGUCUCGAGGUCAACGGCAGCCACUCACGACAAACUGAAAAUAGAAACAACGAAGUCAAAAAAACGAAGACGAACGAACGAAAGAUACGAGAACUUCAACACACCGGACAUUCUACUUCAUCAAUGAUGUUAACCACUUACCAGAUCGACGACGAAUAGGGAAAAGACAAAGACUGAAACUUAACUAACACAAACAACAUCACAGACGUGGUGGCGGCUUACGUACAAGGCCGUCAGGUGCGUAGCUAGUGAUCGUUUAAUUUUUCCGUACUUGCGUGAUUUGUUUUUAAAACACAUCUACUAAGAACAUAUACCGUCACCGUGUGCGCGACCAACUACUUCGGCGACCCGGCCUUCCUGGAGAGUAACGGUACGAUUACUCAUAGUGCUGCUUGUACCGGGGGUGGAGUUACGGAGGGACAGCCGCCACUCCAGACCGGCCUAGACAUGCUGGGCGUUAUAAUCAUUUCUUUUUCUUAUCGAACUAACAAGAUACUGAGACAGCACCUAUCCAUUAAACGUAGUCUCCAGAUAUCCUAGAGGCGGUAAUCAAAGGGUAAUCUUUUAACUCAAUGAUUUAAUUCCUUCUACAUGUUUCUCUCCAUUAGCUACCGUAGUAUACGUAGUCUUCUAGGAGUAGUGGCUUCAUCAUGAGGUGGUCAGGUGGAUGUCAAAACCUUGUAUAUUUGUGCCGUAGUUUCACGAUGUACCGUGGUUUAUUUCUCAAGUCCAGUCCCACAAUAUGACGUCGAUUCAUCAUAUCAGACUUAAAGAUUCAAACUCCUCCUAAAGUCACAAAGAUUUCUUUCCCUGUUCCUAGUCCCGAUAUUCUAACAACUUUCUGAGUCUCUGUACAUGGUACUUAGCCAAGACGUUCGACGCCGUGUGUACCAGACGGAGGCACAGCAGGAUGGACGAAAUCCCGGGAGAUGAAGAAGGGGGUUCUAACGGUAAUACUAAUUGUUUAGACUGUUCUCGUUAAAUUAACCACUGUGUAGUAUAAAUAAGACGUUCACGUACACUUAAGAGUAGAACGCCGAUGGAGAAAACGAAUGGUCACUUCUACCUCUCGAAAUCCGUUUUUUUCUUUCUUUUUUUUGAUCGUGCACUAGAUACCUCUUAUUAAAACUGUCGUUGAGGUUGAUACAUUACCUCAUGUGAACUACGCUAGUUAAGACCACACACACACACACUACGUUACUGCAUACUUAUUGCUGUCUUUUUAUACGGACUCCUCAUACCCAUACAUCAUUGUAAAGAGACAAUAAAAGCCUUGUUGAACCUUAUAGAAUAACCAUCAAAUAUAUGUUUCAGUAAAACUAUUGAUAGUACGACGUUUGGAUGUAUCAAAAGAUAUAAUUAGUACAGCACGAUUUUAUAUUUUCAAUAUCGAAGUUAUUUAACUAUUUUAUGUCUAAACCCGAAAUGUAUAAAUAACUUAUAUAUAAAUGUAUACUUAUACAACAAUGCCAGCCUGAGGUCGCUCGUCGUCACCAACAAUAUGGGGUGGUCCAUUGAACGAUGACAACCACUUUGAGAGAACACGUCUUUGCGGCUAGAACUUUAGAACUAGGAUGAAUAUCCGGCAUAACGUUCGUUACAUGAGUACAAAAUGACUUGUACAUCCAUUGUACUUUAAAACUAGAAGAGGGUAGUGACUUUCAACACAAAAUUUGAACGUUUUCGUAACGACUCGGAUAAGUUAGUAAAGAUAAAAUGGGAUCUAAAGUGAGGUAUGGUAUUAACUCUAUGUUUACCCGCAAUGACUACAGCUCCUCUUCUCAAUCUUCGAGAACCUAACUCUUAGACUCUAAAUAUAUCCAAGUCAUCUUGUUUUUCAAAGCCUAAGUGAUGAGGUCUAUGUUGCCCUCUGGAGACUACAGUAUCAACCGUGCCUGUAAAUCGUUAUUUACACACGGACGGACUUGUAAUAAUGAUAAUUUGAUACUUAUUACUAAAAACGUUGAUAUCCUCUUAAAGAACCGGCGUAGUGUUCUUUUUCUUAAACUUUGUCUUUUCACAUGACUUGGAAGAUUAAUAACAUACUUGAGCGCAGUGAAUUAAAUUCUUCAUGUGUAUGACGAUCGUAAACGUAGUGUGGCCCUCGGAUAAUAACUCUCUAGACUGAAGUAGUCCUAACGCCCAAGCACUGAAUUAGGACUAACCCAUACGACCGACGGGCAUGUCCUAACUGCGCGGGAUAUACGCCGCUGGGCGCCGAUGAGGAGGGUCGGGGCCUAUACGAGAAGGCGGUGGACGCUGGGUGUCGAGGUUACUAGGUGCUGUUCCCUACUGCUGGUUGAGCCGACGGGGAGGGAGCACGUCGAGGGAGACUCCGACGUCGUUGGAAACUUGCUCCGGUGAUACCACGGUGGAUACAACAGGACUUCAAGGGAAUCUAAGCUGUAAAAGUCAAAGCAGUCUAAAUCAAAGUAGUCUAAGUCUUUUAAGUCAAGUAGUCAAAGUAGUUUCAAAGUCAACAGUCAAUUAAACAGCCCGUGCAACCGUGAGCGUGUGCAGCAGGCGAAGGAGUGUAGUGAGCGAGUGUAUCGGGUGGACGGUUAGGUUCGUUGCUGAACCAGUCCCUAGCCUGACCUGGUCUGCCACAGGUGGUACUGGACUUCCGCUACGGCCUCAGGUUCACACACAUUCAAUGUGGUCGGAAACUAAAUAUAUAGGUGGUAGGUGACUAGUCACUGGACUUUUCCAACCCGCGAGACUCGAUCGUGUAUUCGACUAACUACUCUACCUAACUUUACGAAAACUAAACAAUCCGGCAGUUAUAAGGUUUGACUUCAGGUUCCUUCUUGCUAAUCCUUGUAAUUCAUUCUUCGGGUACUCAAUCAACAGAAUGUCCGUACGUGCACGUGUUCCACGACUAUGUAUCAACGUCUAAAGGUUACCUACGACCACAACAGCCGACUGUAGAGGCCCCGACAUGUAGUACUACCAAUGGUUCUGUGCUGUUACUAGAGUUACGAUGUUUGGACUUACCUUAUGGUAUUGACGUCUGGACUAGUGUUACGAUGUUUGAACUUACUUUAUGGAACUAACGUCCGGAAACGACUAAACGCAAAAGGUAACUAGAAGUUACGUGAUUUCUUAUCACUUUAGAACCGUAGACUAAGUAAAACGUCCGAUACGAAAAUUGAGUUACUUUUACACGUAAAAAUCAACUGGAAUAACAGACAAACAUCGAUUAACCCUCUGUUUGUACCCGUUACUCGUCGAAAAAACUACUGUCACGUUAGUUCCUGAGUGUAUAAGUGACUACUUGGAUGGAGAUAAACCAUGACACAUAUAUGGACUUUUAUCAUCGUAGCCGAAACGUAUAGAUAAAAGACUUAGUCGUUGUGACAUAAUCCCAGAAGUAGCUGUUACAUGUAUCACUACGAAUUGACGGCCAAACUUAAUAACCUACGUAGACAACACUCUGUAAGGACACAACAGUAUCACUGAACGGACGCGAGUAACAACUAGCGAUUCUUCACUCAACCAGGUCUCUAACGUCGACUCUACCUCGAGUCGUCCUGUUGAUCUGUACGUGUCGAACCAUAAUCAGAAUAGAUUUUAAAAUGUAUAUUCAAAAAAGGAUCUAAGUUCAUGUAAUAUAGUAAUAAAACGUCCACACUAGGUGUCUCCUCUAGUGUAAAGGUCAGGUCAGUAUUUAAUAAUAUCAAUAAAAUGAGUACAAGUAUGAUUUAAACUUUGCCCAGUUAGGCGUUCGAAGACUAGGAGCCAAGUAAAAACUUGAUAUAGGUACACAAGAUAGUUCCUAGUAAAACCGCGUAUACCUUUUCUGUUCGUUAAAACAAUGGUCUUAAUAGUAUAAACAUUCCAGUUAGUGGGUACCCAAGACGUGAAGUGAUCUUUAUUAAACAUGGGAACUGGACUAUUCAACAACAACAUAAUACUUAAUAAGUUUCAUACUCUGGUUUAAAUAACAAAAUCAAAGUAUGUUAAAAAACAAAAAACUAUUUACCUCUAACAGUAACAGAAGGCAAACGUACGGUCUUAAAUCGCCAAGUUACAUU
rnacentral:rRNA from 1 species